rnacentral:lncRNA from 1 species
GGAGGCUGAGGCAGGAGAAUCGCCUGAACCCGGGAGGGGGAGGUUGCAGUGAGCCAAGAUCGCGCCACUGCACUCCAGCCUGGCAACAGAGCGAGACUCUGGCUCUAAAUAAAUAAAUAAAUAAAUAAGAGGCCAGGCGCGGUGGUUCAUGCCUUCAAUCCCAGCACUUUGGGAGGCAAAGGCAGGGGGAUCACUUGAAGUCAGGAGUUCGAGACCAGCCUGGCCAACAUGGUGAAACCCCACCUCUACUAAAAAUACAAAAAUUAUCCAGGUGUGGUGGCAUGUGCCUGUAGUCCCAGCUACUUGGGAGGCUGAGGCAGAAUCACUUAAACCUGGGAGGCAGAGGUUGCAGUGAGCCGAGAUCGUGCCACUGCACUCCAGCU